ensembl:lncRNA
AGUCCAUGGCUCUGAUACAGUAGUUCAAUUCCUGUGUAAUGCAAUGCGCUGUGCAGUUGCUUUUGCUGUUAAUUUCAUUUGGAUGUUUGUGAUGUGUUAAUGUACUAAGCAUUGUUAACAACUUACACCAAACCAUUAACACAGUACAAUGCUCAAUAGAUACAGAGUGUCUCAGUUCAAGUAUGUUUGGGCUAGUAUUAAUGUAUGGUGCAAACAGUGUAAUACAAAGGGGAAGAAGAAUGAUCCUGUGUGUAAAGCAUAGAGUUGAGAGCCUGGGUCUGCUUAGGUCUUUGCAUGGCAUAAGAAUGGCAAAUGUUAUAACGUAUAACUUUAAUAAAAUGCAUUGAGUUUACAACAAUGUACAAUGUCAUUUUCUGUACAUAACACAUGUUAAAAACAUUUCACUAUCAAAUGUCAUGUCCUUCUUAGUAAACGUCUUCUUUAUGCUUCCUUUAGAAUUUACCACUGGGUGAAGAAAUGAAGUGCUUUGAUGUGUUAAAAGUAGAAGGAUACAGUUUGAUAGCUACUGGAAAUGCACAUGGUGCAAUAACCUUGUGGGAUUUUGAAUCUGCCACUGUCAGAUACUUGGAUAAAACUUAUCAGGCUGGUCAAAAUGCUGUCGCUCAAGUAUCUGGAGUCAAUGCCGUGCUAUUCCUUUUCCGGAGUGCUUUCUUUUCCAGUCUCUCCUCCUCCACCACUUCAUCCCUUGUAAGUGAUAUGACAGCCACACAGGGUACAGAAGGCAGCCACGUGAGUCUAAACAAGGAAGAUGUAAACAAUGGAGAGUCUUCAGCAACAGUAGAAAGAACUGUAAGAACUAUGGCAAGAAGAUAAUGGGGUCAAUUAUGUUCCAGAAGGGGAAGGGACAACCAACGAGAAGGAUGUGCAACCCUCUGACACCAAAAAAUCAGCCUCUGGCUUCUCCAGAAUCAUAGCUGGACAUACAUGCUCACCAAUCCUGGCAUCUGCUCAUGAAAAUGGCUGUGUCUAUCUAUGGAGCAUUGGGGUAACGUAUUUGAUUGUAUUUUUGGAUGGGGUUGGGGGUGAAAGAAGAAAAUGCUCCACAUGUUCAGCUUCUGGCUCUCACCUAACAUAUGAAGUUAUAGGAGGGUUUUUUUCCACUGAUCAUUAUUUCUAUUAACACAAUUUAGUGCUGCUUUUAACAGCUGUAGCAAAGGGAAAGAGGAAGGGGAACAGGAGGAAAAUCAUGGCUUAGAAUAAUUGUAGUGACAACUGUCUGAAAAGGUAUGUAACUCCCUUGGGGUCCAUCCUUUAUCCACCUCCUCUGCCUUUUGAGACAGUGUGAUGGCCAAAGCAGAGUCUGCUGCUCCACUUAUAAGAGGAAAUCUGCCCUGUUAACUGACUCUUUGAAAAAUAAUGUAGCAAUAAGGGGCUGUGUACCUGUAUAAACGAGUAGAGGGUCAGGUAUGACUUGCAUGUUGUGCAAUCCGGUUGACGUCAAUAUGGGUUACAAGACAGGGAAGAGUUUGCCUCUAGGUGGCUAAAUUAAGACAUAUUAUUAAAAGGUUUUAGGGACUUCAGCGGUUUUAAUUAACUGUGACAUUGAACCCUCCAGGUAUAAUAAAGCAGCUCAAUGUACGUUAUUGGUAUAAAAU